rnacentral:rRNA from 1 species
UCGAGUGGGAAGAAAUGUAUUUAUGGCUAAUAUCCAUGAUAUUUUGACGGUACCGCUAAAGGAAGCACCGGCUAACUCCGUGC